AUACAGAGGGUGCAAGCGUUGUUCGGAAUUAUUGGGCGUAAAGCGCACGUAGGCGGUUCGAAUAGUCGGGUGUGAAAGCCCGGGGCUUAACCCCGGAAGUGCAUUCGAAACUCUCGAACUUGAGUCUCGGAGAGGGUGGUGGAAUUCCUGGUGUAGAGGUGAAAUUCGUAGAUAUCAGGAAGAACACCGGUGGCGAAGGCGGCCCACUGGUCCGGUACUGACGCUGAGGUGCGAAAGCUAGGGUAGCGAACGGGAUUAGAAACCCCAGUAGUCC
rnacentral:rRNA from 1 species